rnacentral:rRNA from 1 species
AUUGAACGCUGGCGGCAGGCCUAACACAUGCAAGUCGAGCGGAUGAAGGGAGCUUGCUCCUGGAUUCAGCGGCGGACGGGUGAGUAAUGCCUAGGAAACUGCCUGGUAGUGGGGGAUAACGUCCGGAAACGGGCGCUAAUACCGCAUACGUCCUGAGGGAGAAAGUGGGGGAUCUUCGGACCUCACGCUAUCAGAUGAGCCUAGGUCGGAUUAGCUAGUUGGUGGGGUAAAGGCCUACCAAGGCGACGAUCCGUAACUGGUCUGAGAGGAUGAUCAGUCACACUGGAACUGAGACACGGUCCAGACUCCUACGGGAGGCAGCAGUGGGGAAUAUUGGACAUUGGGCGAAAGCCUGAUCCAGCCAUGCCGCGUGUGUGAAGAAGGUCUUCGGAUUGUAAAGAACUUUAAGUUGGGAGGAAGGGCAGUAAGUUAAUACCUUGCUGUUUUGACGUUACCAACAGAAUAAGCACCGGCUAACUUCGUG